CAUGCAAGUCGAGCGCCCCGCAAGGGGAGCGGCAGACGGGUGAGUAACGCGUGGGAAUCUACCCAAUACUACGGAAUAGCUCCGGGAAACUGGAAUUAAUACCGUAUGUGCCCGACAGGGGAAAGAUUUAUCGGUAUUGGAUGAGCCCGCGUUGGAUUAGCUAGUUGGUGGGGUAAUGGCCUACCAAGGCGACGAUCCAUAGCUGGUCUGAGAGGAUGAUCAGCCACACUGGGACUGAGACACGGCCCAGACUCCUACGGGAGGCAGCAGUGGGGAAUAUUGGACAAUGGGCGAAAGCCUGAUCCAGCCAUGCCGCGUGAGUGAUGAAGGCCUUAGGGUUGUAAAGCUCUUUUGUGCGGGAAGAUAAUGACUGUACCGCAAGAAUAAGCCCCGGCUAACUUCGUGCCAGCAGCCGCGGUAAUACGAAGGGGGCUAGCGUUGCUCGGAAUCACUGGGCGUAAAGCGCACGUAGGCGGACUCUUAAGUCGGUGGUGAAAUCCUGGAGCUCAACUCCAGAACUGCCUUCGAUACUGGGAGUCUCGAGUUCGGGAGAGGUGAGUGGAACUGCGAGUGUAGAGGUGAAAUUCGUAGAUAUUCGCAAGAACACCAGUGGCGAAGGCGGCUCACUGGCCCGAUACUGACGCUGA
rnacentral:rRNA from 1 species